AGGAGAGAAAGCCCCCUUGGAAGUCAUUCAUAACCAGUCAAUGAUACAAUAUAAGAAGAAUGGGGGAUCUGGGUUUGAUAGCAAACGUAUCUUUGGAAUGGCUGACUGCAAGGUCUAUCCCAGAGAGGCAACAUGAUUCGACAGACAACCUGGAUCCCCUAACCCAGAAAACUUCAAGGAGCCAGAAAGCAUUUGACAGUCUGGUUCUGGUGGUGAGAGAAUGGAAGAAAUGGAAGUGGCGUUUCCAAGGGAAAGUUCAAAUCCCUGAGGGAAGGUAUGUGAUUGCUUCAGCCGAGCACUGGCACAUCUGUUUAGGAAGAACCUUUCGUGCAGGCCCAUCUCAUCUGCUGGCAAGCUGGAGAUGGGCCACCUGGAAUGCGGGGACCAUUCUUAGUUCAGCCAGGACAGGAUGGAGCUGCUAAUCCGCAACAUGCUAUCUGGGCAACUUCCCUGACUGAGAAACCAGUGAAGAGAUUGAGGCCUCAUAUCUGGUUCAUUUGGAGCAGACCCUCAGUAUUGUGGGAUCUUAGAGCAUAAGGGCAAAGAAAAUCAUAAAGAAAGUUCCCACCAGAUUUUGAAGAACCUCGGUUUCAUCAUCUGCAAGACGGUAAUCAUACCAAUCCUAUCAUUCAUCACCUGACUGAUGU